GUCUCUGUAGUACAAUGAACAGUGCGUUGGACUUCUCAUCCAAAGGUCGUGGAUUCGAAUCCCGCCUGGGAUG